GAGUCAUUACAGAAUGUACGUACUAAUGACUAUUCAUUCUCUCUCCAAUCUUGUUGUUCUUGCUGGUCCCCAAAAAUUACGCCAAAAUUACCCCAAAUCGCAAGCAUCAGUCUCUGUCUUUGCUUACUAGUCUCCUUUUUCAAUUUCAGCCCCUACCCCUUUAAAAACAAUCUCCCCAUUUCAACCUCUAGUCAAUUAACACCUCACAACAAGAUCACUUCCCCCUCUUUUCUCAAAAUGGGUCUUGUUAUUUCUUCCUCCAUUGACUCAUUCCGGUGAGUUUUCACAUACCCUUUUCGCUUUUUUUCAUGUUUUGAGGUUUACCUUGGUUUCUUGAUAUAUCUUGAUUUUUGGUUAAAAUGAGGGACUUUCCAUCUUGUUUUGGUGAAAAUGGUGUUCAGGUUGCUGAUAAUUCUUAUUCAAGUGUUAGUUUUAGUAAAGCUCCGCAAAAUAUGGUGACUUGUAUAUAUCAGUGUAGAUUACUUGGCAAGUCUUGUUUGAUAAUACUGUGUUGGAGUAAGAAUUUGAUGGGGUAUUGUCUAGGGGUUGAAAUUGAUGAUUUAGGUGGUCAUUGUGUUUGUAGAGUUGAUGUUAAGCCUUCUUUGUUUUAUAAGAGAAAAGGGUCCAAGUGUUUGCAAGUGAAUUCUGCUAAAAUUGAUAUUUAUUGGGACCUUUCUUCGGCGAAAUAUGGGGCUGGUUCACAGCCUGUAGAGGGGUUUUAUGUUGGAGUUGUGUGUAAGGGAGAGAUGGUUUUGUUGGUUGGAGAUAUGGUGAAAGAAGCGAUUAAGAAAGCUAAUGCAGUUCCUUCUUUGUUUGGUUCGACUUUUGUUUCGAAGAGGGAACAUAUAUUUGGGAAGAGGGUGUAUAAAAGCAGGGUUCAGUUUUCUGAUAAUGGGCAAAUUCAUCACCUUGUGAUUGAAUGUGAGACCACUGGAAUCAGUGACCCGCGCCUUGUUGUUCGUUUAGACAGCAAGAUGGUGAUGCAGGUAAAGCAUCUACGAUGGACAUUUCGUGGGAACCAGACCAUUUUGGUUGAUGGGCUGCCUGUUGAAGUUUUCUGGGAUGUUUAUAAUUGGUUAUUUGGCACAUCUUUAGGGAGUGCAAUUUUCAUGUUUCAAACUUGUUCGAGGACUGAGAAGCUAUGGGCUAGUCAGACGUUGGACCCCUCUGAACCCCCUUGGCCUUGUUUACAGAGUAAUAGAGAAUCUAAGUCAUCUGAUCCUGGUUUUGCUCUGACCUUGUAUGCUUGGAAAAAUGAUUAGCAGAUCCUCCUUGAUAAAUGAUGUGUUUUUUCUACUCGGCUGAUGUGGAGAUGGUUGAAUUAUAGUAGAAAUGUGGCUGGGGCAUCAAUCUCUAGCUGGAAACUCCAUCAAUAAAAGCAUUGGCUGGGGCAUCAAUCUCUAGCUGGAAACUCCAUCAAUGAGCCUGGUUGCCAGUGGUAUUCUAUGAAACUGUAAUGAUAUUUUUGCUACGUCUUACCUGUUCCUUAAUUACAGGGAUUAUAGCAACUCUUUAAUCAGAAUUUAAAACUUGUUAUUCAUUUGUAGAACUAAGAAGGCAGGUUACUAGAUUGUUUGUGGCCUAAUGUUAAACUUUGACUUUUAAUAUGGACGAGGGCUUUUGUGGUGACUGUCUGAGAUUAAGGAUUUAAGGGUUAUGUCAAUUUCCCAUGAAAUGCUUGCACCUGAUUCAUCAUGUGCGUGACGAAGAUGACCAGGUCAAUUUAGUAGAUUCUGGAAAAUAUUUGCUAAGUUGCUGGUGUUUACUUUCAUCCUUUCCAGUUUUGUAGGUCAUAAUUGUAACUAGUUCACUAUCCAACUAUGUCUUUCAAAAGCGAAGAAAUUUUAGAAGGAGACCUUCGCAGUUCUGUUAAGGAAUACCACGGAAAUGAACAGGUGAUCAUCGUUGUCACUGCAAGAGGGACUGGCAGACAAUUCUUUUUCUUCCUUUGAUUAGGCUCUAGUCGCUUAGUAUAGAACAAUGUUCUAAAGACUGUUCAAAUUGCAUAUAUGCCUAAUGGGUGGCCUGGAAGCUUCACCUCUUUACCCUGACAGUUGU